CCUACGGGGGGCAGCAGUGGGGGAUAUUGGACAAUGGGGGGAACCCUGAUCCAGCGACGCCGCGUGAGUGAAGAAGUAUUUCGGUAUGUAAAGCUCUGUCAGCAGGGAAGAAAGAAAUGACGGUACCUGACCAAGAAGCCCCGGCUAACUACGUGCCAGCAGCCGCGGUAAUACGUAGGGGGCAGGCGUUAUCCGGAAUUACUGGGUGUAAAGGGAGCGUAGACGGUUAAGUAAGUCUGGAGUGAACGGCCGGGGCCCAACCCCGGGACUGCUCUGGAAACUAUUGAGCUUGAGUGUAGGAGAGGUAAGCGGAAUUCCUGGUGUAGCGGUGAAAUGCGUAGAGAUUAGGAGGAACACCAGUGGCGAAGGCGGCUUACUGGACUGUAACUGACGUUGAGGCACGAAAGCGUGGGGAGCAAACAGGAUUAGAUACCCCUGUAGUC
rnacentral:rRNA from 1 species